GGCGGUUCUCGGGUGGCACACCCCAGAAUCAGGCUCCCUCCUCUCUGGUUCUGGGGUGCGUCACCCAAGAACUGCU
rfam:Myotis lucifugus cont2.23497, whole genome shotgun sequence.